rnacentral:rRNA from 1 species
CAAUGUUGGCCACAGUAAAAUGGCUCUGGCGACUGUUUAUCAAAAACACAUGGCUAUGCGAAACUGAAAGGUGAUGUAUAUGGCCUGACACCUGCCCGGUGCUGGAAGGUUAAGAGGAGAGGUCAUCGUAAGAGAAGCCUUGAAUUGAAGCCCCAGUAAACGGCGGCCGUAACAAUAACGGUCCUAAGGUAGCGAAAUUCCUUGUCGGGUAAGUUCCGACCUGCACGAAUGGUGUAACGAUCUGAGCACUGUCUCAGCCGCGAGCUCGGUGAAAAUUGUAGUAUCGGUGAAGAUGCCGAUUACCCGCAACGGGACGGAAAGACCCCGUGCACCUUCACUAUAGUUUAACAUUGACUUUGGAUAAUUCAUGUGUAGGAUAGGUGGGAGACUUUGAAGCGGUGUCGCUAGGCAUCGUGGAGUCAACGUUGAAAUACCACCCUUGAAUUAUUUGGAGUCUAAUCUGCCUACAGGCAGAGACAUUGUUUGAUGGGUAGUUUGACUGGGGUG